rnacentral:rRNA from 1 species
CUGCUCUAUGAUUUAUUUAAUGGCCGCAGUAUUUUGACUGUGCAAAGGUAGCAUAAUCAUUAGCCUUUUAAUUGGAGGAUGGAAUGAAAGAGGGGAUGAAAUUUAAACUGUCUCAUAUAAAAAAAUUAAAUUUUAUUUUAAGUUAAAAUUCUUAAAUAUAAUUAAGGGACGAGAAGACCCUAUAGAAUUUAAAUUUUAUAUUUAAAUUAUAAGUAUUAAUUUAAAUUUAUAUUUGAAUAUAAAAUUUUUAUUGGGAAGAUAAUUUAAUUUAAUUAACUUAGAUUAUAUUUAAACAUUUAUGUAUGGUAAAAUAAUUAAUAGUUAUUGGAAUAAUAGAAAAAUUACCUUAGGGAUAACAGCGUAAUAUUUUUGGAUAGUUCAUAUUGAUAAAAAUGAUUGCGACCUCGAUGUUGAAUUAAAAUAAAAUUUAAGUGCAGAAGCUUAAUAUUUAAG